rnacentral:rRNA from 1 species
GACAGAGGGUGCAAACGUUGUUCGGAAUUACUGGGCGUAAAGCGCGUGUAGGCGGCCCUGCAAGUCGGGUGUGAAAUCCCACGGCUCAACCGUGGAAGUGCAUUCGAAACUGCAGGGCUAGAGUCCUGGAGAGGAAGGUGGAAUGCUUGGUGUAGCGGUGAAAUGCGCAGAUAUCAGGAGGAACACCGGUGGCGAAGGCGGGUCUCUGGGCCGAUACUGACGCUGAGGAGCGAAAGCGUGGGGAGCAAACAGG